rnacentral:rRNA from 1 species
AAAAAAGGUAAGCUACUAAGAGCGAAUGGUGGAUGCCUUGACUGGUAAAGGCGAUGAAGGACGUACUAGACUGCGAUAAGCUACGGGGAGCUGUCAAGAAGCUUUGAUCCGUAGAUUUCCGAAUGGGGCAACCCAAUGUAUAGAGAUAUACAUUACCUAUAUAGGAGCGAACGAGGGGAAUUGAAACAUCUUAGUACCCUCAGGAAAAGAAAUCAAUAGAGAUUGCGUCAGUAGCGGCGAGCGAAAGCGCAAGAGGGCAAACCCAGUGCUUGCACUGGGGGUUGUAGGACUGCAAUGUGCAAGAGGUGAGUUUAGCAGAACAUUCUGGAAAGUAUAGCCAUAGAGGGUGAUAGUCCCGUAUGCGAAAAACAAACCUUAGCUAGCAGUAUCCUGAGUAGGGCGGGACACGAGAAAUCCUGUCUGAAGCUGGGUCGACCACGAUCCAACCCUAAAUACUAAUACCAGAUCGAUAGUGCACAAGUACCGUGAGGGAAAGGUGAAAAGAACUGAGGUGAUCAGAGUGAAAUAGAACCUGAAACCAUUUGCUUACAAUCAUUCAGAGCCCUAUGUAGCAAUACAGGGUGAUGGACUGCCUUUUGCAUAAUGAGCCUGCGAGUUGUGGUGUCUGGCAAGGUUAAGCAAACGCGAAGCCGUAGCGAAAGCGAGUCUGAAUAGGGCGCUUAGUCAGAUGCUGCAGACCCGAAACGAAGUGAUCUAUCCAUGAGCAAGUUGAAGCUAGUGUAAGAACUAGUGGAGGACUGAACCCAUAGGCGUUGAAAAGCCCCGGGAUGACUUGUGGAUAGGGGUGAAAGGCCAAUCAAACUUCGUGAUAGCUGGUUCUCUCCGAAAUAUAUUUAGGUAUAGCGUUGUGUCGUAAUAUAAGGGGGUAGAGCACUGAAUGGGCUAGGGCAUACACCAAUGUACCAAACCCUAUCAAACUCCGAAUACCUUAUAUGUAAUCACAGCAGUCAGGCGGCGAGUGAUAAAAUCCGUCGUCAAGAGGGAAACAACCCAGACUACCAGCUAAGGUCCCUAAAUCUUACUUAAGUGGAAAACGAUGUGAAGUUACUUAAACAACCAGGAGGUUGGCUUAGAAGCAGCCAUCCUUUAAAGAAAGCG